GGAAAGAGAGGGAUUCGAACUC
rnacentral:tRNA from 1 species